UUCAAAUGAGAUGGGAUAUUUCCUUGGUUUCUCCCUUGUUUCUCUAUUAUUUAGGUUUUGUUUAGUACAUACAACAAGGGAAAAUAUCAAAACUCCAAAUAAUUUUGGAAUUUACAACUAGAUGAAGAACAGUAGAGAAACCCAACAAAAUAUGCCAUUCAAUAUAUUUCACCCUCUGGCCAAUUUUAGCGGGAAAAAGAGGAAGACUAAAUCACAACAGACUGAAGAAAGUACUGGCUGAAUCUGAAUAAUGAAUCUUACUUUUGUUUCCUGGACUUUUCCUAGUCACAUCCCAUGAAUAACUUCUCUCCCAUCCUUCUUUCUUUCUUUCUUCCAGUUUUACAAGACACUUAAAUAUGAAUUCUAAGUCAUUUCUUUAUGAUUUAUUUAUUUUGUCCUUAAUGUCUACUCUGUCUACAUGAAGUAUGCAUGUCUAUAAUCUUGAUUAUUUUUCUCUUAUUCAUUUUUGUCUACUGUUAUAGUUGAGAUCUAAAAUAUCCCUCCUAAGUCUCAUGUGUUUGGGAGGAGAUUGGAUCGUGGGGGUGCUAUACUUAUCCACUGAUAAGUUCAGAAGCUGAAUAUACUGCUAGGAGACAGGGUCUGGUUGGAGAUAGAUCACUGGAGCCUUGAUCUGAAAGGGUGUAUUCUUGUCCACAGCUCUUCCCUUUUCUCUCCACUUUCUGUCUGCAUGGGUUGAAUAGCUUUCCUCUGCCAUGGCCCUCUGCCAUGCUAUUUCUGCCUUGGAGCCAGCUGACCAUGGACUGUAUCCUCAGGAUCCAAAAUACACUUCUCCUCCUUCAAAUUCUGAGUGUCAUGUGUUUUUUCCCAGUAAUAGAAAAGUGACUAAUACAUCUAGGGUCCCAGCCAAGAACUCAAAAGGAUACGGAUAAUUACUUUUUACUCUCCUACAAUAAUCAAUUUUAUGUUGAUAAGUACUCAAAUGCAUUGCCAUGUAUCUCAUCUCUGUGGAAAUUUAAAUAAAAUAAAUUUAAAACUAGUGCCUAGCAUGCUUUAUUAGCAUGCAUACAACCCUAAUUUUGAUCUCCCACAGCAAAAAUAUAACUGAAUUAUACAAUCAAUGCACCCAACCAUUAAUGGAAAAUUAGAAUGUAAUAAAAGAAACCCCUCAAAUUAGUGAGGAAAGAUGAAAUUAUUUAAAAGUAGUAUUAGGGAAAUGAUAUAGAAAUAUUCAAAAAGAUAAAAUUCAUCCAUUUAUCACACUUCAUACCAGAAAAUUCCAAUAGAUUAGAUAUGUACAUGAAACAACAAUAAAAAAUUGAACAAAAGAAUCUGAAAAAUUUGAAUGAGUUUCUUGGAAUAGGGAAAAUUUUCCCUAACAAUAUAAAAUCUAAAAGCAUAAAAGAAAGGUUUAACAUUUAAAUUAACAAAACGUUUUAAAUGUUUGUAUGAUAGAAUUGGAACCGAGGUCAAACUUUGAACUAAAGGAGGUUAGAAGGGCU
rnacentral:lncRNA from 1 species